rnacentral:rRNA from 1 species
UAGACGACUCUCGGCAACGGAUAUCUUGGCUCACGCAUCGAUGAAGAACGUAGCAAAAUGCGAUACUUGGUGUGAAUUGCAGAAUCCCGUGAACCAUCGAGUUUUUGAACGCAAGUUGCGCCCGAAGCCAUCCGGUUGAGGGCACGUCUGCCUGGGCGUCACGC